GGUUCCGUAGUGUAGUGGUUAUCACGUUCGCUUCACACGCGAAAGUCUCCGGUUCGAUCCCGGACGGAACCA
rnacentral:tRNA from 1 species